rnacentral:lncRNA from 1 species
CAGAAAGCAGAAUGUAGAAAAGCAUUAGUGACAAGCAAAAAGACAAACACCGAAUGAGCUGGACAAAACUGCAUCUGUCAACUUACAGAACACGAAGGCUGAAUCUUCCUGACCAAAAAACAUUCUUCAUGGAUUAGAAAUGACAAUGUACCACAAUUAGCUGACACUGGAUCCACAGAUUGUUGCAGAGAAUGAUUAUGAAAUAGGACAGACAGUAGCUGGAUUCAGUUGCCAGGUGGUACAUCUGAAUUUAAGUGUGAUACUAGGAAGACUGGGACAUUCAUUUCAACAAAAU